UAUGGCCACAUCACGUUGAAACACCAGUUCCCGUAAGAUCACUGAAGUUAAGCAACGUCGAACCUGAUCAGUACCUACAUGAGUGACCGUUUGAGUUUAUACCAGGUGCUGUAA